rnacentral:piRNA from 1 species
CCCAAAUUGGAUUGUCUUGAUUCUGUGGA